rnacentral:lncRNA from 1 species
UUCCACAUAAAAGCUCAAUAUAAGAAAAGAACAAAUAGGAUACAUGCUAAGAUAUAGAACAAUAUGUAGAAUGGAUGAUCCAAUCGUGGAUCACAGUAUCAUGUUGAUCGGUGGUAUUGGCCCAUGAACAGUCCGGUGUAGUCGGUAUCGAUGUACCAUAUGUCUGAAGUACAUCCCAAUUUUUUUUUUAAAGCCAAAAGAUGAUUGGAAUUCACGAAAGAUAAUUUUUAAGUAUUUAAUCCUAAUUAAUGAUAACUUAUUAUAUUUAAAUAAGAAUAUAGUGUAUAUGAGGCAUGAAAGAAUAGGAAAAACAGGUUCUAAG